rnacentral:piRNA from 1 species
UCCCAGGAUCUGGAAGUAUAUACACAAAAU